UGAUCCUGGCUCAGAUUGAACGCUGGCGGCAGGCCUAACACAUGCAAGUCGAGCGGUAGCGGGAAGAGCUUGCUCUUUGCCGACGAGCGGCGGACGGGUGCGUAACACGUAGGAAUCUGCCCGGUAGUGGGGGAUAGCCCGGAGAAAUCCGGAUUAAUACCGCAUACGCCCUAGCUCUUUAAGAGCGGUGGAAAGCAGGGGAUCGGUUCGCCGACCUUGCGCUAUCGGAUGAGCCUGCGUCGGAUUAGCUGGUUGGUGGGGUAAAGGCCUACCAAGGCAACGAUCCGUAGCUGGUCUGAGAGGAUGAUCAGCCACACUGGGACUGAGACACGGCCCAGACUCCUACGGGAGGCAGCAGU
rnacentral:rRNA from 1 species